GAUGAACGCUAGCGACAGGCCUAACACAUGCAAGUCGAGGGGCAGCACAUGAGUAGCAAUACGAUGGUGGCGACCGGCGCACGGGUGAGUAACACGUAUGCAACCUGCCUGUAAGAGGGGGAUAACCCGGAGAAAUUCGGACUAAUACCGCAUAAUACCACGAGACUGCAUGGUUUUGUGGUUAAACAUUUAUGGCUUACAGAUGGGCAUGCGUAUGAUUAGAUAGUUGGUAGGGUAACGGCCUACCAAGUCUACGAUCAUUAGGGGUUCUGAGAGGAAGGUCCCCCACACUGGUACUGAGACACGGACCAGACUCCUACGGGAGGCAGCAGUGAGGAAUAUUGCGCAAUGGGCGAAAGCCUGACGCAGCAACGCCGCGUGAGUGAGGAAGGCCUCGGUUGUAAGACUCUGUCUUCCUGGACGAGGCUUAAGGUUAAUAGCCAAAGAAUGACGGUACAGGAAGAGGAAGCCCGGCCUAACUACGUAGCCACGCAGCCG
rnacentral:rRNA from 1 species